CCAAACGUUAUUCGGAAUUACUGGGCUUAAAGAGUUCGUAGGCGGCGCAGAAAGUAGGGUGUGAAAGCCCUCGGCUCAACCGAGGAAUUGCGCUCUAAACUACUGUGCUUGAGGGACCUAGAGGUGAGCGGAACUGAUGGUGGAGCGGUGAAAUGCGUUGAUAUCAUCAGGAACACCGGAGGCGAAGGCGGCUCACUGGGGGUCUUCUGACGCUGAGGAACGAAAGCCAGGGGAGCGAACGGG
rnacentral:rRNA from 1 species